rnacentral:rRNA from 1 species
UUUUUUUUCAGCUCAGAUUGAACGCUGGCGGCAGGCCUAACACAUGCAAGUCGAGCGGUAGAGAGAAGCUUGCUUCUCUUGAGAGCGGCGGACGGGUGAGUAAUGCCUAGGAAUCUGCCUGGUAGUGGGGGAUAACGUUCGGAAACGGACGCUAAUACCGCAUACGUCCUACGGGAGAAAGCAGGGGACCUUCGGGCCUUGCGCUAUCAGAUGAGCCUAGGUCGGAUUAGCUAGUUGGUGGGGUAAUGGCUCACCAAGGCGACGAUCCGUAACUGGUCUGAGAGGAUGAUCAGUCACACUGGAACUGAGACACGGUCCAGACUCCUACGGGAGGCAGCAGUGGGGAAUAUUGGACAAUGGGCGAAAGCCUGAUCCAGCCAUGCCGCGUGUGUGAAGAAGGUCUUCGGAUUGUAAAGCACUUUAAGUUGGGAGGAAGGGUUGUAGAUUAAUACUCUGCAAUUUGACGUACCGACAGAUAGAC